GCUCAAAGAAGCUGAGGGACGGUCAGCACCUCAGGCAAGGGGCUUUGGAGCUGAGCACAGCCCCUUAGCAGCACUCAGGGUCCUCCAGCAGUGACCCAGUGCCCGCAUCUAUGCCAGCCCACAGUGCUAGUAUCCCUCGCAUUCAGCUUCUGUGUGGGGAGAAGCUUGGCCUCCUGCCCAAGACCCCAACUGUGGAGGAGGGAGGUGCCAUCAUCUCCCUAAAAGUAAGGUCACGGGGAGUCCCAUGGUCUGAGGCCUGAGUGAGGCCACGGUCAGCGAUCUCUCCCUUUUCUGCCAAAGAUGGAGCCCCCCAUGCAGAGAACAUAGGUCCUCAUAUGGAGGAAACUCAGACCUCUCCCCACAGCAAGGAAGAGAAGCCCCUGAAUGAAUGGGGAGCAGGAAAUGGCCAGGAAUCAUCACAUCAAAGUCUCUAUGAAAAACCAAACUCGCCUCCAGAGAGCACUUUCAAUACAGACCACCAAAAUGGCCACCGUCACCUGAGAGCCAGGGAAGCAGGAGAUGCUGUCUACCUGAAACACUGAGUACUUUUGAGGAGGAGAUGAAGACAUUCCACAAUGACAGCACGGUUCAGGAGAAGGAGGCUCAGUGCUGCAAGUACAGAUGGAAGCCCUCAGUGCCUAAACCCCAGGGCCUGUUCUGUGAUGCCCUCUGACCCCAUCUCAUAUAAAGGCUCAUCUGGAGGGACUCCUGGGUUUUCAUUCACUCUGCAUUCCUUCACUCAUUCAUUCCUUCAGCAAAUAUCCUUUUGUUCCAUCCUUUUGGUCCUUGCUGUGUCUGAGCACACACUCAUCAGGAGAAUUGCAGUCUGGGAAGAGUUCCUUAC
rnacentral:lncRNA from 1 species